rnacentral:misc_RNA from 1 species
GAUGAAGAACGUAGUGAAAUGCGAUAAGUAAUGUGAAUUGCAGAAUUCAGUGAAUCAUCGAAUCUUUGAACGCACAUUGCGCCCGCCAGCACUCUGGCGGGCAUGCCUGUCCGAGCGUCAUUUCAACCCUCGCGCCGUCCCUCCAGGGGGCUCGGCGCGGUGUUGGGGGACACGGCCCCGGCCGCCCCCGAAAUGCAGUGGCGACCCCGCCGCGGCCCCUCCAGCGCAGUAAGCACGCUCGCUACGGGAGGCCCGGUGGACGCGUCCGCCGUAAAACGCCCAACUCUUCAGAAGUUGACCUCGGAUCAGGUAGGGAUACCCGCUGAACUUAAGCAUAUCAAUAAGCGGAGGA